UUGACCUCAAAUCGGGUAGGACUACCCGCUGAACUUAA
rnacentral:rRNA from 1 species